rnacentral:rRNA from 1 species
AAGCAGAACGACCAGAGAA